UGAGGAAUAUUGCGCAAUGGGGGAAACCCUGACGCAGCGACGCCGCGUGAGUGAUGAAGGCCUUCGGGAUGUAAAGCUCUGUCAGAGGGAAAGAAAGGGGUGUCGGAAUAAUACCAGACACCAUUGACGGUACCCUCGGAGGAAGCACCGGCUAACUCCGUGCCAGCAGCCGCGGUAAUACGGAGGGUGCAAGUGUUAUUCGGAAUCACUGGGAGUAAAGAGCACGUAGGCGGAUAGGUAAGUCAGAUGGGAAAUCCCGGGGCUUAACUUCGGAACGGCAAUUGAUACUGCCUUUCUUGAGUAUGGUAGAGGGGGAUGGAAGUCCCGGUGUAGAUGUGAAAUUCGUAGAUAUCGCGAGGAACACCAGAGGCGAUGGCGAUCCCCUGGGCCAGUACUGACGCUGAGGUGAGAAAGCGUGGGGAGCAAACA
rnacentral:rRNA from 1 species